UUAAGUUCAGCGGGUAGUCCUACCUGAUUUGAGGUCAAAUUGAUAUAAAAUUGUCCGAAGACCAUUAUAUGCGGCACCUCGAUCCUAGCCAACAGCGCAACGUAUUAUCACACUGAUGACCGAAACGGACCAAAGUCGAUUCCGCGAAUGCAUUUGAGAGGAGCCGACCCGGGUAGGGGCCAGCACGCUCCACAAUCCAA
rnacentral:misc_RNA from 1 species